rnacentral:rRNA from 1 species
UACGUAGGGGGCAAGCGUUGUCCGGAAUCAUUGGGCGUAAAGCGCGCGUAGGUGGCCACAUAAGUCCGUUGUGAAAGUCAAAGGCUCAACCUUUGAAAGCCGAUGGAUACUGUGUGGCUAGAGUACGGAAGAGGCGAGUGGAAUUCCUGGUGUAGCGGUGGAAUGCGCAGAUAUCAGGAGGAACACCAAUGGCGAAAGCAGCUUUCUGGGACGGUACUGACGCUGAGACGCGAAAGCGUGGGGAGCGAACAGG